rnacentral:rRNA from 1 species
AAGACCUUGCGCUUUUGGAGCGGCCGAUGCCUGAUUAGCUAGUUGGUGGGGUAAUGGCCUACCAAAGCUUCGAUCAGUAGCUGGUCUGAGAGGACGGCCAGCCACACUGGGACUGAGACACGGCCCAGACUCCUACGGGAGGCAGCAGUGGGGAAUUUUGGACAAUGGGCGCAAGCCUGAUCCAGCCAUGCCGCGUGAGUGAAGAAGGCCUUCGGGUUGUAAAGCUCUUUCAGCCGGGAAGAAAAGGUUGCGAUUAAUYAUCGCAAUUUAUGACGGUACCGGAAGAAGAAGCACCGGCUAACUACGUGCCAGCAGCCGCGGUAAUACGUAGGGUGCGAGCGUUAAUCGGAAUUACUGGGCGUAAAGGGUGCGCAGGCGGUUURGUAAGUCAGAUGUGAAAUCCCCGGGCUUAACCUGGGAACU